CCUACGGGAGGCAGCAGUGAGGAAUAUUGGUCAAUGGACGAGAGUCUGAACCAGCCACGUAGCGUGAAGGAUGACUGCCCUAUGGGUUGUAAACUUCUUUUAUAUGGGAAUAAAACGUUCCACGUGUGGGAUUUUGUAUGUACCAUAUGAAUAAGGAUCGGCUAACUCCGUGCCAGCAGCCGCGGUAAUACGGAGGAUCCGAGCGUUAUCCGGAUUUAUUGGGUUUAAAGGGAGCGUAGGUGGAUUGUUAAGUCAGUUGUGAAAGUUGGCGGCUCAACCGUAAAAUUGCAGUUGAAACUGGCAGUCUUGAGUACAGUAGAGGUAGGCGGAAUUCGUGGUGUAGCGGUGAAAUGCUUAGAUAUCACGAAGAACUCCGAUUGCGAAGGCAGUUCACUGGACUGCAACUGACACUGAGGCUCGAAAGUGUGGGUAUCAAACAGGAUUAGAUACCCCGGUAGUC
rnacentral:rRNA from 1 species